CCGAAUUCCUGGUCAAAACUAAUAACUCAAAUAUUUCUCAGUGAAAAUUGCUAGUAUUACUAUACCUAUAGUUUUUUGGCUUGCUGGUUUCGGAAAUGAAUGCAAAAAUGCUAAAUUCAAAAUGGCGGAUAUCUUUUACAAAAAAUACUUUACCUCGGAUGAUAACUUUCGAUUUUGGGGGUUUUGGCCAAGAAUUCGGGCUUUUGGACCACGGUGCACCGUGAAAAAAAAAUGUGAGUCGUCACGGGAUGCCUGGCAGAUGUGAAACAUCGAUAUUAUUUUGU